CCUACGGGGGGCUGCAGUGGGGAAUAUUGCACAAUGGGGGAAACCCUGAUGCAGCAACGCCGCGUGAGCGAUGAAGGCCUUCGGGUCGUAAAGCUCUGUCCUAAGGGAAGAAUACUGACGGUACCUUAGGAGGAAGCCCCGGCUAACUACGCGCCAGCAGCCGCGGUAAUACGUAGGGGGCUAGCGUUAUCCGGAAUUACUGGGCGUAAAGGGUGCGUAGGCGGCCCUUCAAGUCAGAGGUGAAAGGCUACGGCUCAACCGUAGUAAGCCUUUGAAGCUGUAGGGCUUGGGUGCAGGAGAGGAGAGUGGAAUUCCCAGGGGAGGGGGUAAAAGCGUAGAUAUUGGGAGGAAACCCAGUUGCGAAGGCAGCUCUCUUGACUGUAACUGAAGCUGAGGGACGAAAGCGUGGGGAGCGAACAGGAUUAGAUACCCGUGUAGUC
rnacentral:rRNA from 1 species